rnacentral:rRNA from 1 species
CAAUCCAGGUCGGUUUCUAUCUAUGCAGCUACCUUCUUCAGUACGAAAGGACAAAGAAGCGAAGGACCCAUGCCACAAGCACGUCCCAGGCCAAUAACUGAACAAAACUAAAGUUAAACAGCUACCACCACGACCAGAGAUCGUGGUCC